GUGGUUUUAGUUUAAUAGAAAAACACUUGCUUUGCAAGCAAGAGUUCCGAGUUAAAAUCUUGGAGGCUACA
rnacentral:tRNA from 1 species